AUACGGAGGGGGCUAGCGUUGUUCGGAAUUACUGGGCGUAAAGCGUACGUAGGCGGACUGAUCAGUUGGGGGUGUAAUCCCAGGGCUUAACCCUGGAACUGCCUUCAAUACUGUCAGUCUUGAGUUUGGGAGAGGUGAGUGGAAUUCCUAGUGUAGAGGUGAAAUUCAUAGAUAUUCGGAGGAACACCAGUGGCGAAGGCGGCUCACUGGCCCAUUACUGACGCUGAGGUACGAAAGCGUGGGGAGCAAACAGGAUUAGAAACCCUAGUAGUCC
rnacentral:rRNA from 1 species